AGAGUUUGAUCAUGGCUCAGGACGAACGCUGGCGGCGCGCCUAACACAUGCAAGUCGAGCGAGAACCGGUCCUUCGGGGCCGGGGACAGCGGCGAACGGGUGAGUAACACGUGGGUAAUCUGCCCUCGGCACCGGGAUAGCCCGGGGAAACCCGGAUUAAUACCGGAUGGCCUUUCGAAUCUUCGGGUUCGAACGAAAAGGUAGCUUCGGCCUCCGGCCGAGGAUGAGCCCGCGGCCGAUUAGCUUGUUGGUGAGGUAACGGCUCACCAAGGCUCCGAUCGGUAGCUGGUCUGAGAGGACGAUCAGCCACACUGGGACUGAGACACGGCCCAGACUCCUACGGGAGGCAGCAGUGGGGAAUCUUGCGCAAUGGGCGAAAGCCUGACGCAGCGACGCCGUGUGCGGGAAGAAGGCCUUCGGGUUGUAAACCGCUUUCAGGAGGGACGAAGCCACUCGGGUUAAUAGCCCAGAGGGUGACGGUACUUCCAGAAGAAGCCCCGGCUAACUACGUGCCAGCAGCGGCGGUAAUAC
rnacentral:rRNA from 1 species